rnacentral:rRNA from 1 species
GGGGGGGGGGGGGGGGGGGGGGGGGAGGGGGGGGGGGGGGGGGGGGGGGGGGGGUGCGGCGGGGGUCGGCGGCGGGCGGGUGUGUGAUGGCGAGGAAUCUGGCUGGUAGUGGAGGGUAACGUCCGGCACCUGUCGCUAGUACCGCCGGCGUCCUGAGGGAGCACGUGGGGGAUCUUGUUACCGCACACUCUCAGGUGAUCCUCGGUCGGAUUAGCUAGGUGGUGGGGUACAGGCCUACCCAGGCGACGACCCGUCACUGGUCUGAGAGGAUGAUCAGUCACACUGGAACUGAGACACGGUCCAGACUCCUACGGGAGGCAGCAGUGGGGAAUAUUGGACAAUGGGCGAAAGCCUGAUCCAGCCAUGCCGCGUGUGUGAAGAAGGUCUUCGGAUUGUAAAGCACUUUAAGUUGGGAGGAAGGGCAGUAAGUUAAUACCUUGCUGUUUUGACGUUACCAACAGAAUAAGCACCGGCUAACUUCGUG